rnacentral:tRNA from 1 species
AUUUAAAUAGUUUAAUUAAAAUGCUGAUUUGUGGUGUCAGAGAUAUAUUUUGUAUUUUAAAUA